rnacentral:rRNA from 1 species
AAGUUCCGACCUGCACGAAUGGUGUAAUGAUCCGGACGCUGUCUCAACCGUGAGCCCAGUGAAAUUGUAGUAUCGGUGAAGAUGCCGAUUACCCGCGAUGGGACGAAAAGACCCCGUGAACCUUUACUAUAGCUUAGCAUUGAAUUUGGGCACGCGAUGUGUAGGAUAGGUCGGAGGCUUUGAAGCAGGCACGCCAGUGUUUGUGGAGCCGCUGUUGAAAUACGACCCUUUGUUUGUUUGAAUUCUAACUCUUGGUAAGAGGACAUUGCUUGGUG